GGGCCCGUGGUCUAGCCUGGUUAGGACGCCGCCCUUACAAGGCGGAGGUCUCGGGUUCAACUCCCGACGGGCCCA
rnacentral:tRNA from 3 species